GACGAACGCUGGCGGCGUGCUUAACACAUGCAAGUCGAACGGAGUGGCGAACGGGUGAGUAACACGUUGGUGAUCUGCCUUGCACUUCGGUAUCAGCUUGGGAAACUGUGUCUCAUCUCGGAUCGUUCAAGAUGAGCUCGCGGCCCAUCAGCUUGUGGGUGGGGUAAUGGCCUACCAAGGCGUCGACGGGUAGCCGGCCUGAGGGCGUGUACGGAAACAUUGGGACUGAGAUACGGCCCAGGAGCCUACGGUAGGCAGCAGUGGGGAAUAGUGCACAAUGAGCGGAAGCCUGAUGCAGCGGCGCCGCGUGGGGGAUGAAGGCCUUCGGGUUGUAAACUCCUUUCGACAGGGACGCGGUACCUGUAUAAGAAGCACCGGCUAACUACGUGCCAGCCGCCGCGGUAAUAC
rnacentral:rRNA from 1 species